GAAGAGGAGGAUGAGAAGAAAGAGAGGGUGAGAAGAGUCUGAUUCUGGUCAAGAGCCCCACCUCCCUUUGAUUUGUGUUGGUAUAUGUGUUUGCUGUUGGUUCUGCUGCUGCCAAGCUUGGCUGCUGCUUGGCCUGACUCUACUUGUGUUGCUAAUAUGUGCUACUAUAUGUUGUUGGUUGCCUCCUUAUUUGGUUAUUUGUGAAUCUAGAAACACUGUGUGAGAAGCAAGGAUUGAAAAGAAGGCUAUGAGCCAAUGAGAAGAGCUUCAUUUUCAGUUCAGUUUUUUGUAAGAAUUGAUGAACGACAUGGUAUAUGUUCAGUUGCUAACAUUCUCUCUAUGGUGUAUGCACUUGUCGUUCCUUGCACUGGAGGGAGAGGAAAACUCUCUGUGAGAAGAAAGGAUUGAACAGAAGGCUUAUGAGCCAUUGAGAAAAACUGUACUUUUAGUUUUUUAUUAAGAAUUGAUGAAGGAUAUGUCAUAUGUUCAGUUCCUUACAUUUUUCUAUGGUGUAUGUACACUGCAUUCGAGGGAGAGGACGGCAAGAGUAAGAAAGCCUUGUGGCAUGAAGGCAGUAGCACGCAGGGCCAAAUCAAGUGCAUUGACCUCAAUGGCAAGAGACCAGUACCGUCAGGUUCGCUUGACUGCUUGCUAGGUUUCAUGCCUUAUUCCUUUUCAUAUAGGAAAUAUAAAGUGCACAUAUAGAAGAGCCCAUAUUGGGCAUCCUUUUCUUUUUAGUUUUUGGAAUCCUUGGAAUGGGUGUUAUAUAUUUUCAUAAUUCUUACCACUUACUUAUCUUUUUUAGCAGCAUAGAUUUAAAUGUAGUAACAAGUGUUUAUGCUUUGCAACCCGGCAUCAAACAAUACCCUUAACAAAGCUACACAAUGGAUGCUAUUUGUCAUAUUUUGACCUAUGAAUCUGUUUGAAUAGAUUAUACAGGAUUGAUGUGGUUAUCAGAUGAUUGCAGUCUACCCCAGGAUUUGCAGAGAUCAAUGAGGAUUCGGGCGGCAUGAAGGGGACUGGUGAUAGGAAACAUGGAUCCAAGAAGAAAUCAAACAACAUGGUGAGUUGUUCUCCCUUUUCAAAUUUGAAACCUAGACUAGAGUCGGUCAAUUGUAAUUUAGUAACAUGAUUAGGAUAGUAUAAUAUUUUGCUACUACCUUGCUGAUAGUUUUGCAGGGUAAUUCUGUCGGCUAUAUAUGUGUUUAUUUUUUAUUGUAGUGAGAUCACUUAUUUUUAUUUAGAAAAUAGAAACCUGAAGUGUGGCUAUAAGAAUCUAAUAGCAGAUGUUCUUCGCAUGAACAAGCUGUGUAAUGUACCUACUGACUAAUAGCAUAAUCAUGACUUGGCUUGCCCGGUUUUACUCUGCGAAGAGUAGUAUGUGGUGCUCUAAUAUUCAACUGUGUUCUUGAAUUGGGAAUUAUGUUUUUAUAAAGUGCUUGUGUGUUGGUCUGAUGUAUAUAAGUUAAAGAAAAUAAAAAACAGAUGGAGGAAGGGAACUUCUUGCUUUUCUUUUCCUUUUGUUUCUCUGUUUGAUAAUUACUCCCUACGAUGAGAAGGUUUACGAAUAGAAAUGUCCUACUCUUUGAUCCCUUUUAGUGUGAGCGGCUCGACGGCAAGCAUGACCGUCUGCUCCAUGCUUUAUUGGUUGUGUCUUUGGCUCCGUGUGCGUUGCGCCACAUGCGUGUUUGUUGCUUGCGUGCUGCUGCUGUGUGUAUGGUGUGUUGGCUUGAUGUGUGUGUGGGCGCGCGCACGCACUAGCUAGGUGAGGAUCACUGGCUCACUGCUCUCUCUAUGUACUCCCUCCAUUCCAAAAUAGAUGACUCAACUUUGUACUAACUUUAAUACAAAGUUGAGUUAUCUAUUUUGGAACGGAGGGAGUAGCUUCUUAGGAGGAAAAAUACUUUGCCGCUGGUCUGCAUCAUGCUUCUAGCAUCUUUCCAGGCAGGUAGAUGUUUCCAAGAUCAAGAGAGAAAAGGUCCUUGCAUGCAUAUACUUUUAGAUGACACAUGACCAGAAGUCUUUCCUAUUAAAAUCAUGUGGCCUUGUGACACCCCGACCCUUUUCUUCAGAAAUUUGUAAUGUGUUUACGCAUGUCUGUUGUGAUGUGCAUAGGAGCAUGAUUUGUUCUGGCACUUUAGGCAUUAGCACACCUAUAAUACAGGUGGCGCGCGUGUGUGUUUGAAGUGUCAGUGCUUGUGUGUAGGAAGUCUAAUAGGGUGGGUUUCGAUUUCUUUUGACUUUCUGAUCAGCCCAAUUGGCCUGGGCUGCGUGUAAGCUUUGUCCUGACGAGGAAGCUGACUGUGCAUCAUCAGUUUAACACCAUCAGCUGGAUCUUUGAAGCCAUCCAACGCUCAACUUUAGUGACUGGUGUAGCGAUCCAGGAUUUUAUCCUAAACUGCUAUUAAACUCACAAGAGGGAGCAUUUUAAUAACAAAAGAACUCUACCAUGC